UGACAGAGCUUUCUACGGUAGUUCAAAAAUUGGAGCGGGCUACCCUGAGGUCACUGGGGUUGUCUCCUGCUUCCCCGCUAGCUCUGGGGAUAAGAAGAUAUCUUAGGAGCUGGAAUUAUAAGGGACUUAGCUUUCCACUUAAUAAAAUCAAAAUAUAAAGGGGGAAAAACUAUUUCUUCUUGUAAAUACAUCCUCUCUGCUAUAGUUCUUCUUCCUUUGGAGGAUCCAGUAGUGUGCUGAAGCUAGCUCCCACUGGCCCAUGAGAACAGAUUGUUACAUAUUCAGGAAUUUUGGAAACGGUUGUUAAACUGUCGGUAGCUCAAAAUUAGCCAUAGUGGGAUCAUUCACAUCACUGAUGACUUGAAACAUUACAAACCAGAGUUUGUUUGCUUUCCUGAGAGUCGGUUUACCUGUUUACCAUUCAUUAUAAGGACUGCAGUUAAUGUUUGUGUUUUUGCCCGUCCAACAUACAUUUCUUAGCCUCUUCUGGUAACGGCAAAUUUCCUUUGGGGAAAUACUGGCAUUUAACUCAGGCCAUGGUUUGAAGGGCCAUAUUCCCUAGGUCCAAGAGUGAGCAUAUGACCUGGGCUUGGCCAAUCAGAGCAUUCCAUCUCCCUGACCACAGUGAUUGGCUCAUAGGUUGUCAUGUGACACAUAUAAAUCAAUUAGAGCUAAUUAAGCAGCUUUUGUGGUACUCCAGGAAAGAUCUUGCCCAUGUGAAGGAGAGAGGUUGUAAGAGCUUAGAAGUGCACUGGACAGCAAACAGUCUGAAGAAAUGGACUCAUGCCAGGUCCAAUGAGCUCUCAAGAUUGGUAGCCACUCAUUUCUACCAAAGAGGUCUUUUGGCUGGUUUGCAUUAUUUCCUGUUUUGGGGAUAGGGUACUUAAAAGUGCCUUCAAGUUCAUAUGGUCUUGUACUCCUGACUUCAAGCUAUUCUCCCACCUCGACCAUCCAAAGUGCUGGGACCACGGGCAUGAAAUACCACGUCUGUCAUCAUGCAGCCUGAAGAAACAUGUGGCAGGCCUCUCACUCUGUUACCACAAAGCACUAUUACUUCAGAUCAUUUACCUCAGCUGCCAACAAUUGGAAACCUGUGGGUCUUCAAACCUGUUCUCUUCGGCUCACAUGGAGUUUUUUAAAUUGGGAAAUUCCACUGACAUUUUCACAGCUUCACUUGAAAAAUCAAAGGACUUGGCAACCCUGCGCCCAUAUUUCCACAGGAAAAAAAACUGGUGGUUGCUGAGCUAUGGAUGAUACCUCCAGCCAGGGAAAAAGGCUCCAUUUCUCCAUAUUCCCCCCCGGCCCCACUCUCUGUAGUCUCACUCAUCUAAACCUAUUUCACUUACUUCUUAUAUCUGGCUAGUCCCCAGAGGCAUGUGAUAUCAUGUCUGUGGAGGUUUUAAAUCAUGACCCUAAAUUCUUUAACACUUCUCUCCUCAAGAGGUGGGGUCUAUGUCCCCUUCCACUGCACCUGGCUGGGCUUGUGACAGCUUUGACAAAUAGAGUAUGGCAGAAGUGACACUAUGUGACCUCUGAGGCUAGGUCAAUAAAGGGCCAAAACGUCUGCCUUAUUGUCUUGGGACACUUGCUGUGGGGGAAGUCAGGUGUUAUGUAAGAAAUACAACUACUCUGAGACUGCCGUGCUGAAGAGACUAUGUGUAGGUGCUCCUGGUGACAGCCCUGACUGAGCUUCCAGGUGACAGUCAGCAUCAACUGCCAACCAUGUGGGUGACCCACCUCGAAGCUGGAUACUCCACCACAGUUGAGUCUUCAGAUGAUUGCAGCCCAGCCAACAUCGAACUGCAGCCGCAUGUGAAACCUGGAUUUGUAGCCUGAGUGUCACGCACAAAAUCAUGAGCAAAGUAGAGUGCUUAUGGUUUUACGGCAUUAAGCUUGGAGUGUUUGUUACACAGCAGGAAUAUCUGGAACGAGGAUGUUUGUUUGGUCUAUUUAACAGGCAUCCAACUUCCACAGGGUGCACUGGAAGAUGAUGUGAGUUCUUUCUUUUUCCAGCGGUUAUCAUGAGAAGUAGGAAUCAGAGUAUAGUAGUGGGUUCAUUCAUUCAUUCAUUCAUUCAUUCAUCCAACAGAUAUUUAUUGGACAUAUACUAUGUGCCAGACAUUUAAAUAAGUGCUGGAAUUUUGGCAGUGGAACAAAGCGGACUAAGAUCUCUGCCCUCACGGAGUUAACAUUCAC
ensembl:lncRNA